rnacentral:rRNA from 1 species
UUGCAGUUAAAAAGCUCGUAGUUGGAUUUCUGGUUGGUGUGAUGCACAGGUUCAUUGAACUUCGUAAUUCAUGCCGGUCAUCCUGCGGAGUAGCGGUUUGGGUAUUUAUUUAUUCAUUCUGGCAAUCCGCUCGUUUACUUUGAGAAAAUUAGAGUGUUCAAAGCAGGCUUAUGCUUGAAUAUUACAGCAUGGAAUAAUAUUAUAGGACUUUGUUUCUAUUUCGUUGGUUUCUAGGAGCGAAGUAAUGAUUGAUAGGAACGGUUGGGGGCAUCAGUAUUUCAAAGCGAGAGGUGAAAUUCUUGGACCUUUGGAAGACUAACAACUGCGAAAGCAUUUGCCUAGGACGUUUUCUUUAAUCAAGAACGAAAGUUAAGGGAUCGAAGACGAUCAGAUACCGUCGUAGUCUUAACUAUAAACUAUGCCAGCUAGGGAUUGGGGGCUAUCUUCUUUGAUGCUUUCAGCACCUUAUGACAAAUCAAAGCAUUUGGGUUCCGGGGGUAGUAUGGUC